rnacentral:misc_RNA from 1 species
GAUGAAGAACGUAGCGAAAUGCGAUAAGUAAUGUGAAUUGCAGAAUUCAGUGAAUCAUCGAAUCUUUGAACGCACAUUGCGCCCCCUGGUAUUCCGGGGGGCAUGCCUGUUCGAGCGUCAUUUCAACCCUCAAGCUCUGCUUGGUAUUGAGUCCAUGUCAGCAAUGGCAGGCUCCAAAAUCAGUGGCGGCGCCGCUGGGUCCUGAACGUAGUAAUAUCUCUCGUUACAGGUGCUCGGCGUGCUUCUGCCAAAACCCCAAUUUUUCUCUGGUUGACCUCGGAUCAGGUAGGGAUACCCGCUGAACUUAAGCAUAUCAAUAAGCGGAGGA